GACGAACGCUGGCGGCGUGCUUAACACAUGCAAGUCGAACGGAAAGGCCCUGCUUUUGUGGGGUGCUCGAGUGGCGAACGGGUGAGUAACACGUGAGUAACCUGCCCUUGACUUUGGGAUAACUUCAGGAAACUGGGGCUAAUACCGGAUAGGAGCUCCUGCUGCAUGGUGGGGGUUGGAAAGUUUCGGCGGUUGGGGAUGGACUCGCGGCUUAUCAGCUUGUUGGUGGGGUAGUGGCUUACCAAGGCUUUGACGGGUAGCCGGCCUGAGAGGGUGACCGGCCACAUUGGGACUGAGAUACGGCCCAGACUCCUACGGGAGGCAGCAGUGGGGAAUAUUGCACAAUGGGCGGAAGCCUGAUGCAGCAACGCCGCGUGCGGGAUGACGGCCUUCGGGUUGUAAACCGCUUUCGCCUGUGACGAAGCGUGAGUGACGGUAAUGGGUAAAGAAGCACCGGCUAACUACGUGCCAGCAGCCGCGGUGAUACGUAGGGUGCGAGCGUUGUCCGGAUUUAUUGGGCGUAAAGGGCUCGUAGGUGGUUGAUCGCGUCGGAAGUGUAAUCUUGGGGCUUAACCCUGAGCGUGCUUUCGAUACGGGUUGACUUGAGGAAGGUAGGGGAGAAUGGAAUUCCUGGUGGAGCGGUGGAAUGCGCAGAUAUCAGGAGGAACACCAGUGGCGAAGGCGGUUCUCUGGGCCUUUCCUGACGCUGAGGAGCGAAAGCGUGGGGAGCGAACAGGCUUAGAUACCCUGGUAGUCCACGCUGUAAACGGUGGGUACUAGGUGUGGGGUCCAUUCCACGGGUUCCGUGCCGUAGCUAACGCUUUAAGUACCCCGCCUGGGGAGUACGGCCGCAAGGCUAAAACUCAAAGGAAUUGACGGGGCCCCGCACAAGCGGCGGAGCAUGCGGAUUAAUUCGAUGCAACGCGUAGAACCUUGCCUGGGUUUGACAUGGAUCGGGAGCGCUCAGAGAUGGGUGUGCCUCUUUUGGGGUCGGUUCACAGGUGGUGCAUGGCUGUCGUCAGCUCGUGUCGUGAGAUGUUGGGUUAAGUCCCGCAACGAGCGCAACCCUUGUUCACUGUUGCCAGCACGUUAUGGUGGGGACUCAGUGGAGACCGCCGGGGUCAACUCGGAGGAAGGUGGGGAUGACGUCAAGUCAUCAUGCCCCUUAUGUCCAGGGCUUCACGCAUGCUACAAUGGCUGGUACAGAGAGUGGCGAGCCUGUGAGGGUGAGCGAAUCUCGGAAAGCCGGUCUCAGUUCGGAUUGGGGUCUGCAACUCGACCUCAUGAAGUCGGAGUCGCUAGUAAUCGCAGAUCAGCAACGCUGCGGUGAAUACGUUCCCGGGGCU
rnacentral:rRNA from 1 species